rnacentral:tRNA from 4 species
GCCGGCGUAGCUCAAUUGGCAGAGCACUCGCCUUGUAAGCGAAAGGUUAGGGGUUCGAUUCCCCUCGCCGGCUCAA